GGUAGCCGGCCUGAGAGGGCGACCGGCCACACUGGGACUGAGACACGGCCCAGACUCCUACGGGAGGCAGCAGUGGGGAAUAUUGCACAAUGGGCGAAAGCCUGAUGCAGCGACGCCGCGUGAGGGAUGACGGCCUUCGGGUUGUAAACCUCUUUCAGCANNNAAGAAGCGCAAGUGACGGUACCUGCAGAAGAAGCACCGGCUAACUACGUGCCAGCAGCCGCGGUAAUACGUAGGGUGCGAGCGUUGUCCGGAAUUAUUGGGCGUAAAGAGCUCGUAGGCGGCCUGUCGCGUCGGAUGUGAAAGCCCGGGGCUUAACCCCGGGUCUGCAUUCGAUACGGGCAGGCUAGAGUGUGGUAGGGGAGAUCGGAAUUCCUGGUGUAGCGGUGAAAUGCGCAGAUAUCAGGAGGAACACCGGUGGCGAAGGCGGAUCUCUGGGCCAUUACUGACGCUGAGGAGCGAAAGCGUGGGGAGCGAACAGGAUUAGAUACCCUGGUAGUCCACGCCGUNNNCGUUGGGAACUAGGUGUUGGCGACAUUCCACGUCGUCGGUGCCGCAGCUNACGCAUUAAGUUCCCCGC
rnacentral:rRNA from 1 species